rnacentral:rRNA from 1 species
AGUGAACGCUGGCGGUAGGCCUAACACAUGCAAGUCGAACGGCAACACACUACUUGCUUGCUCUUACGGGUUGCGAGUCGCGUACGGGAGAGGAAUAUAUCGGAAUCUACUCUUUCGUGUGGGUUAACGUAGGGAAACUUACGCUAAUAUCGCAUACGCCCUACGAGUGAAAGCAGUGGAUCUUUGCACCUUGCGGGAUUGAAUUCGCGGCUGACGGAUUAGCUAGUUGGCGGGGUAAAGGCCCACCAAGGCGACGAUCCGUAGCUGGUCUGAGAGGAUGGUCAGCCACACUGGAAGUGAGACACGGUCCAGACUCCUACGAGAGGGAGCAGUGGGGAAUAUUAGACAAUGGGGGGGAGCAUGAUCCAGCCAUACGGAGUGGGUGAAGAAGACGUUGGGGUUGUAAAGACGGUUUGUUGGGAAAGAAAAGCAGCAGGUUAAUACCCCGCGGUUGUGACGGUACUGGAAGAAGAAGCACCGGCUAACUACGUG